rnacentral:rRNA from 1 species
UACGGGGGGCGAGCAGCUGUUCGGUGAUUUACUGGGCGUAAAGGGCGCGUAGGCGGUCAGCACAAGUCAGUUGUGAAAUCUCCGGGCUUAACUCGGAAAGGUCACUGAUACUGUGCGACUAGAGUGCGGAAGGGCAACUGGAAUUCUCGGUGUAGCGGUGAAAUGCGUAGAUAUCGAGAGGAACACCUGCGGCGAAGGCGGGUUGCUGGGCCGACACUGACGCUGAUGCGCGAAAGCCAGGGAGCGAAGCGGG